CUCUCUCUUUUGUUCUUCAUUCUACAUCUCAUAUUCUCAUAAUUCUCACAAUAGUGAUGUGAUUACACUUUUAACCUAUUUUCUUAUGUGUUUACUCUUCUUUAUCUUCUUCAUCUUCUCCAUAAUCACAAUUCACAACCAUUAACAUCAUAUAUAUGUUUGACCAUGGCAAUUUCCCACUUUUUCUAAAAAACCAAGUGCUUUUUUACAGUUUUUUUUGUCUCUAACCGUCCUCUAUGUCAACUUUCCAGAGAACACAUGUCCUCUCUCUUACAAGUCAUUAGCAUCAUCCCUACUCUAACCAAAGAUCUUACGAGAUGAGAAACAAGAAACGAAAUUCGAAUACAACUUCAAACAAUUCGAAUCUUUGUUACCAAUAAAAGCGUACCGUGAUGAGAAGAAGUCAGCACUUGAGGGUGAACUCAAGAAGCUGGUAAAGGAGUGUCCGGUGGAUGUUCUGAAGCACCAAAACGAAGAGACUGUAGCAGCUUCACCGAGAUCCGACAUCUCUGCAAUAAAUGGUCAAUGCUUUGGUAAACUCUGGGUUUUAAGAGUUAGUGUGGAUGUGGAUGAGUUAACAAGAACAAAGCUCUUCUCAGCUGAUGAUUUGGAGGCCACAUUACUGCAAGCAACUAUAAGAUGUGUCCACUAAAUAGUAUUCAAACAAAACUGACAAGAGUCACCCUUUUGUAGCCUCACUCAAAUAAAGGAAUCUAAAAAGAAGUUUGUCUACACCCAUUUUUUCAAGUAAAUUCAAUUAUUUUUGAAUAGUUUGAGAAAUUGCUAGGUGGUAAUCAUGGGCGUUAUAGAAGAUGAGUAUAGAUGUGUCUUGCCAUUCAUAAGAAAGGCAAAUAAAUAUAGAGAAAGAUGGAGUAAUCAGAUACAAAACCUGAUGAGAUCACUUUUCUGGGCGUUCAUGGAGGCUUUUCUACUGGAAGGUCUUAAAGAUAUUCUCGGAGAUGAAGACUAAAGAUCUGAAACCUCAAAAUGUGAAAUUGGGAGAAAAGGUUUGUCCUUAGUGUAG